GCCUUGGCUGCUCUUUGCCAGAUGCAGCCANNNNNNNNNNNNNNNNNNNNNNNNNNNNNNNNNNNNNNUGGGUGGAGGAGGAGGAGGAGGAAGAGGAAGAAGGCCCUGGAGCUGCCCCAGGACCAGAGACUGAAGAGGUGCAGCAGUUCCAGCCGCUGGAGGAGGAUGCAGCCAUGGACAGGACACAAGAGCAGGAGCCUGCCCGUGGCCGCUUCCACAGAGCAGCGCAGAGGUUCCGCAAGUUCCUGCGCAUUCGGCAUAGAAAGAUCAGCCCCAUAGGAACUGAGGGCACAGCUGAGCCUGACUCCGGGCUGACCGAGCUCCAGGCAGAGCCUGAUGUCAGCCCAGAUUCAGCUGAGUGCUCAGAAGACUCUGACACUGCAGUGAAUGAUGAGAGGGAAAACUCUGACAUGGCAGUAACUGAGGAUGUGGCUAUUCCAAAUGAUGAUGCUGGAGAGACUCAGGGCAUUGCAGAUGCUGACAUCACACCCACUCCUGCUCUGAGUCAGGAACUCAUAAGGGACAAUUUCAAGGACAACUGUGUUUCUUCUGAGCAGCAGGUGCCAGCUAUUGUAAGGAACAUUCACCAGAGUCUGGUGUCCCAUGUCACUGUGGAUGUCAGGCAGCAAAUUGACAUUAUAAGGCUGGCUGAAGAACACCCUGCUGAUGUGGUGCUGACCCUCCUGCACUGUGCCCCAUCGUGUGACAGAGCUGCUGAAAUGAUGUGGAGAGCCAUAGGCUCGUCGGGACCAACAGUAGAGAAAGUGCUGCCAACACUGCUCUGUGUGAUGGAGGAUUGGCCUCUGCACAGCAUCUGCACCUCUGAUGGAGACAACAAGGAUGUUUUUGCUCUGGCUGCAACUCUGGUGCUCUGGCUGAUUAUCCAAGCGCCUGAGUGCCACGAGGCGUUGAUCCUUUAUUCCGCCCGCCUGUUUCUGGCUCUGCUGUUCCAUGUUGUCAUCACCACCCAGCAGACGCCACCAGUGGAAGUUGACAGCUUCUGGAGAGCAUGCCGGGAGGAAUACUGCCUUCCCAGAAAACCCAACAGGUUUGCAGUGCAGGCCAUGAAGGCUCUGCUUUUCCGACUGCGGUGUGAGAGUGUGGUCAUGGAAAUGCGAUGCAAGUGUGGCUGGGACACGCUGCUCUGUGCUGACACCCAGCACUAUGCCGUGGGUCUGCUGGCCAGGGAGAUGCACGGUGCCUCCCUCUCUUUGUGUUCUGGGAUUGCACUCCGCCUGCUCCAGCUGCUCAGCAGAGAGGAACCACCCUGGGAUCUGCCCUUCCUGGCAUUCUUUGUGGAGGUCCUGGAUUGCCUGAACUUGCGUAAAUGUGGUGACAGUGUCCUGGAGAUCAUGUCAAAGCACCUGCAGAGCAAGUGCAGGCAGAGGCGUCGCCUGGCAUUCAGAGGCCUCAUGGUGCUCAGCAAAUUUCCUUCGAUGAGAGAGAGAAGGAGGAGAAAGAGAAAGAUAACAUGAAGAAGACAUCAUAAAACCCUCAAAGACAGUGACGAAAAGA
rnacentral:lncRNA from 1 species